rnacentral:rRNA from 1 species
AGAGUUUGAUCCUGGCUCAGGACGAACGCUGGCGGCGUGCCUAACACAUGCAAGUCGAACGGAACUGUUUUGAAAGAUUUCUUCGGAAUGAAUUUGAUUUAGUUUAGUGGCGGACGGGUGAGUAACGCGUGAGUAACCUGCCUUCAAGAGGGGGAUAACAUUCUGAAAAGAAUGCUAAUACCGCAUGACAUAUCGGAAUCACAUGAUUUUGAUAUCAAAGAUUUUAUCGCUUGAAGAUGGACUCGCGUCCGAUUAGUUAGUUGGUGAGGUAACGGCUCACCAAGACCGCGAUCGGUAGCCGGACUGAGAGGUUGAACGGCCACAUUGGGACUGAGACACGGCCCAGACUCCUACGGGAGGCAGCAGUGGGGGAUAUUGCGCAAUGGGGGCAACCCUGACGCAGCAACGCCGCGUGAAGGAUGAAGGUUUUCGGAUUGUAAACUUCUUUUAUUAAGGACGAAACUUGACGGUACUUAAUGAAUAAGCUCCGGCUAACUACGUGCCAGCAGCCGCGGUAAUACGUAGGGAGCAAGCGUUGUCCGGAUUUACUGGGUGUAAAGGGUGCGUAGGCGGCUUUGCAAGUCAGAUGUGAAAUCUAUGGGCUCAACCCAUAAACUGCAUUUGAAACUGUAGAGCUUGAGUGAAGUAGAGGCAGGCGGAAUUCCCCGUGUAGCGGUGAAAUGCGUAGAGAUGGGGAGGAACACCAGUGGCGAAGGCGGCCUGCUGGGCUUUAACUGACGCUGAGGCACGAAAGCGUGGGUAGCAAACAGGAUUAGAUACCCUGGUAGUCCACGCUGUAAACG